rnacentral:rRNA from 1 species
ACGCUCGACACCUACGGGAGGCGGCAGUCGGGAAUAUUGCGCAAUGGAGGAAACUCUGACGCAGUGACGCCGCGUAUAGGAAGAAGGUUUUCGGAUUGUAAACUAUUGUCGUUAGGGAAGAAAAAAGACAGUACCUAAGGAGGAAGCUCCGGCUAACUACGUGUCAGCAGCCGCGGUAAUCUGAGCGGGCUGGCAAGGC